rnacentral:rRNA from 1 species
GACGUAGGGCGCAAGCGUUGUCCGGAUUUAUUGGGCGUAAAGAGCUCGUAGGCGGCUUGUCGCGUCGUCCGUGAAAACUUGGGGCUCAACCCCAAGCUUGCGGUCGAUACGGGCAGGCUAGAGUUCGGUAGGGGAGACUGGAAUUCCUGGUGUAGCGGUGAAAUGCGCAGAUAUCAGGAGGAACACCGGUGGCGAAGGCGGGUCUCUGGGCCGAUACUGACGCUGAGGAGCGAAAGCGUGGGGAGCGAACAGG